CUCCGAUAGGGGAAAAGCUUCGACAGGACACUGUCGUUGGAGGACAAGAGCGCCAUGACUCAAAUUAAUGCAAGAAGAUAAAAAGAAAUAAAAGAAUACAAAAAAAAAAGGGGGGGGGGACCCUCCUUAAAGACGAACCCAGCUUCAUUGAUCAAAUAAAUUUCAAGUACAAGAGAAUGAGGAAAAAAUCAUCACAAAGAAAAAAUACAAAACUAGAGGUUCCGGACCUCUGGGGCAGAAGUAGAGGGGGUCGGUGUCCCUGGAAGAUCGUCAGCGAUGGCCACGGUAGUCGAUGAGGUCCCUAUUGGAAGAGGACCGACAGCGACUUUGGAUGGUCCGGCUUCAUCAUCGGAUGCCUUGUUCAGGAAGCCGAGAUCCAAUUCAAAAAACCUCCCAGCCACCUUCUCUUGACAGAGCUCAAACCCCUUGAUGAAGGCAUCCUGGCUGAACUGGACCUUUAGAUCCUCCAUCUCGGAGGAGGCUUUGAACUCCUCCACUGCUCGAGCCCUUGCCUUCGAGACCAGAGAUGGAAUCCAUGCUUUCAGCUCGGAAACCUACUCCUUCAACUCGAAAGACUGCUCCUUCCACUCGAAAACCUGCACCC
rnacentral:lncRNA from 1 species